CAUUUUUAUUAAGACAAAUAUAUAUAUUUUUUUAAAUAAUACAACGACGGAGCCUUUAGAAAAGUGCUGAAUGAAAGCAUGGCUUUUCCUGAAAUAAAAUCAUUAUUAUUGUGAAUUAAUCAUUUUAAAAAUGUCAGCGGGUCCAAAAUGAAUAUUUUGUUAUCUCUGUAGAAGAUAUCUGACAUCCAACUCCCACUUCUAACAAGGCUUGUGAGCCAAUAGUAUAGCGACGUUGGCAUCACGUGGUAUCUCUGGGUCGUCAAUUAUCAAAGUUGCCAGUAAG